rnacentral:rRNA from 1 species
UACGUAGGGCGCAAGCGUUGUCCGGAAUUAUUGGGCGUAAAGAGCUCGUAGGCGGCUUGUCACGUCGGAUGUGAAAGCCCGAGGCUUAACCUCGGGUCUGCAUUCGAUACGGGCUAGCUAGAGUGUGGUAGGGGAGAUCGGAAUUCCUGGUGUAGCGGUGAAAUGCGCAGAUAUCAGGAGGAACACCGGUGGCGGAAGGCGGAUCUCUGGGCCAUUACUGACGCUGAGGAGCGAAAGCGUGGGGAGCGAACAGG